rnacentral:rRNA from 1 species
AUUGAACGCUGGCGGCAGGCCUAACACAUGCAAGUCGAGCGAGCGGCGGACGGGUGAGUAAUUUAUGGGGAUCUGCCCGAUAGAGGGGGCAAACUACUGGAAACGGUGGCUAAUACCGCAUACUAUCGGCUGAACCCAGAUGGGCUUAGCUAGUAGGUGGGGACAGGCUCACCUAGGCGACGAUCCCUAGCUGGUCUGAGAGGAUGAUCAGCCACACUGGGACUGAGACACGGCCCAGACUCCUACGGGAGGCAGCAGUGGGGAAUAUGGCACAAUGGGCGCAAGCCUGAUGCAGCCCAGCCGCGUGUAUGAAGAAGGCCUUAGUGUUGUAAAGCACUUUCGGCGGGGAGGCGUUACCCGAAGAAGAAGCACCGGCUAACUCCGUGCCAGCAGCCGCGGUAAUUC